UUUUUCUGGCAUUCCACACUUCCAUUAAGGGGGGGAAUUGAGCAGAGGAAGUGAGAGAGAGGACGGAUUGAAUUACUCUUUGUGUUGAAUAGAAGUGUGUGCAGCCAGAAGCAGAGAAAAAAGAACCGUGUUAAAAGCGGUGUGUGUUUAUCAGAAGACAAAGAUUUUCAAAUCACAAAGACUGUUCCAAGAUUAUAUUCUACAACAGACAAAAGCACGUGUUAUACAGAAAGCAGCACAAGAU